CCAGAAUUUGACUCAGUUUCUUCCUAUUGUAAUGAAAGUCCAGAGGAAAUUAAUGAAGUAAAUGAAACAAUUCCACUGCCUUGGUUUAAUGACUUCCACACAAAACCCUCAAAGGGUUGGUACAUUCUGCCUCCUGGGUUCACAGCACUGGGCCAGGUCCUUGGAAUAAUAGCAACAGGCUGAAAAGCUGUGUCUCAUGCUCUGAUGUUAAUGCACUGAACCGAAACAGUUGCAAAAUAAAUACUGAAAAUAAAGAACUUUGGACUGGUCAAGGGGUAAAAGCACAGUUUGUAGAGCUUAGUGUAGAGAUAACUAUACUGAACUUUGAUGGCCAUUGAGAGGUAGGGGAUCAGAGGACUCAACUCAUUGCAUUCCCUCUACAGCCUUUGCAUGGAUAAACCAUGAGCAAGGAAAGCACGAGUGCUGGUCCAACAGGCCGUGCAGACCUGCUCCUGGGAGCACAGCUCACCCACGGGUACUCGGUGAGCAGCUUGCUGCUGACAUUGUCCCAACGCCCAGCAAGUGCCACGUGGGAAGGAAGGGCUUUGGAGGAGUGCUGAGCGCUCACUCUCUAAUCUAGGAGGUGUGGAGAUUGCAGGGGACUUGGGUGAGGAAUUUACAAUUAAGGCUAUGAAAGAAACUGGCCGAGUAAGACACAAGCAAGAAUUAAUGGCCAAAUAAUAUUGCUUAAAUUUCUUGAUCUUCUAUGAUUGGAUUUUGUUGGUUUGGAAAGUGUAGAGGUGAAAUUCUCCCGAAUGUGUCUUUUUAUUUUGUCCUGUGUGAUGCCUUGCAUUGUGUUCCUCUCCAUUUUAAUAAAGCUCCAAAUAUGUGUAAAAA